UGACGUUGUCUACAAAAUCUGACAAAGUUAUAGUUGCGACAAAAUUGUAAACUCCAGCCAACUCACGUCAAAAUAGACAUAAUAAAUUCUUAUCCUUUAAAGAAAUUGAAGAGAUUUAACCUCCGAAUUGCUAAGAUAGAGCAUGUGUAUAUUAGCAAUGCGAAGGAGGGUGAUGUAGCUUAAGUUACGAUGCAUUGACAAUGACGCGGACAUAUAUAAACAUUGGAAAGUAUUUGCAAACUCUUUGUUAACGUUAGAGGAAUAUUUUGAGGAAACAUUCUUAAGUGUUUUGUUGUUGUUGUAUACAGAGGUUCACAGUACAGAAUUGUAAAUUCUUGGAAAUUAAACAUUCUCUUGUUACUGAUUCUGACAAUUCAUGUGACAGAUAUUUCAGCAUCGUGUUCAACAGUUCAGAGUAAAUUAUCCUUUGAAUGUCACGAUAAAUUUAUCGGUGAGGAUAUAAGCUUGAAACUACAAGUAAGAUCAUGUACAGACAUUGGCGUGGCAGUUGAAAUUGAUGCACUUCAUAUAAAAUUCGACAAAGACUUACACUCAUCCAUAUCUCUUCCUAUCCCUGGUUUCACCUAUCGUGGUCUAGCUGGUGUAUUUCUUGUCAUUGACUUCUCAGAUGACGAUGGUUAUCUUGUACUUAAGAUAAAGCUUGCUGUGAAAUGGGUGUUUGAGUCAAUCUCAACGACUGUGUUAGAGCAGAAAUUACCAUUGAAAUGCAAAGGUAAGUUUUGUGUAGGUGUACCGUCGGCGAGUCAACGAAUUUCUGCACCAAUAUCAAUAAUGAUUGCUGGUUAUCUAGUUGCCAUCGUUACACUGUCUUUUUUAUAAUGCUAUAAAUGAUAACAGUUAAACCGUAUUUGUUGUAGGUUUUCUUGGGUACCUUCUAUGCCUUUUUCCCUUGUUACUUUUAACCCAAAUUGGCCUUGAGACUUGCUAAUUCUUUAUUCCUUUAUUUGCCUACAAUUUUUGCAUUAAGUAAUUUCGAUUUUUAAUAAAUGUUAUAAUUGUAAUUGUAAUCUCCAAUGAUUAGCAAUCUAACGACAUAUAUGAUAUUAAUCUAAAAUUCAUAAACAUUUUGACUGACGUCUCGUUUUGAUAUUGCCCCUGGGGUUUUUUUUAUCUUUUUUGUACUCAUUAUUAGACCUUGAAAUUUUGUGACUUUUUGUAACUUUUAUUGUCUUUUUGAUUCUUAUGAAAAAAUUUUGUAUUUUUUUUGUACAUUUUCAGGGGUAAGCCAUUUGAAAACAAGGGGUAAAAUAUUUAGAAUAUAAAAUAUAAAGUAAAUAUUUUUUUGUUAUCUCUUUCUAUGCUAAAUCUUUAGUCAAAAUUUUUUUAGUUUCUAAACAUUUGAAAGUAAUCACACGUAUAAGAUAAUUUGAUGACCAGAUGUGUAAUUUACAGACCAGAACAUAUAAUUUACGGACCAAAAUAAUACCAAAAAAAUUAAAUUACUCUUUGUCUUUGAUGACGUCACUACAGAUGGUAAUGAUUGUGGUUAAUUCUUAAUUUGGGGAAAUAUACCUACUUUUGAAAAAAAAAAAAAAAUUUCUCCUAGGAUAUAUCUAAUAAUUAGACUUUUUUUUAUAAUUAUUAGAAAUGUGUCCGCGAAACUUUAACCCACCCCUCCCUUGCUACAGCAGACCUAAAAAGCCUCCGCAAUCCUGGUAGUUUCUACUGUAUCGUAUGACUAUUUAGCUAAUUUUAAACAUAUUAGAUUUUCACGCAUUUUUACUAAUAUAAAAGUUGUAAUUAUCGUGUAUUUUUGGGUAUUUUUGUAUUAUUUUAUAUAGUACAUGUUCACAUAGGAAAUUUUACUGCAUCAUGAUUAUGACAUUUGUAAUAUGUCGAAACUAGUCGAUAAAAUUCAUU